GAUGAACGCUGACAGAAUGCUUAACACAUGCAAGUCCACUUGAACUUCGGUUUGGGUGGCGGACGGGUGAGUAACGCGUAAAGAACUUGCCUCACAGCUAGGGACAACAUUUGGAAACGAAUGCUAAUACCUGAUAUUAUGAUUAUAUGGCAUCGUAUAAUUAUGAAAGCUAUAUGCGCUGUGAGAGAGCUUUGCGUCCCAUUAGCUAGUUGGAGAGGUAACAGCUCACCAAGGCGAUGAUGGGUAGCCGGCCUGAGAGGGUGAUCGGCCACAAGGGGACUGGGACACGGCCCUUACUCCUACGGGAGGCAGCAGUGGGGAAUAUUGGACAAUGGACCGAGAGUCUGAUCCAGCAAUUCUGUGUGCACGAUGAAGUUUUUCGGAAUGUAAAGUGCUUUCAGUUGGGAAGAAAAAAAUGACGGUACCAACAGAAGAAGUGACGGCUAAAUACGUG
rnacentral:rRNA from 1 species